rnacentral:tRNA from 1 species
GGAGCGGUGUCCGAGUGGUUUAAGGAGCCGGUCUUGAAAACCGGUGUUACCGAGAGGUACCGUGAGUUCGAAUCUCACCCGCUCCG